UUAGGAAAGUCAGUUUUUUUUGUCCUUUGGUUUAUUUACUUUCAAUUAGGUAAGUUUCUGUUACUAUUUAGAUAGUUUCCUUUUGUGUGUUGUUUUCGGCUAUAGCUCACUCUGAAGCCAAAUACUCCGAUUGGAACAUCUUUAUCAAAAAUACAUCUUUUUUAAAAAUAAAUCAUUAUCAACUGUUCAACUUCGUGUGUGUCGGUUGUUGAGAUCUGAGGAGGAUGGAUCCUUCAUGAUGCGACCUGGCCAUAACAGAGAGUAAAUCCUGCAGAUGGGGAAAAGAUGGCUUACACCAAUCUCUGUGGGAUAGAUGGGUAAGGUUACUCUCUCGCUUAUAGUCAGGAAGUAAGAUUUCAUUAUAAAUAAUUGUAAAAUAUAUAAUACAUGUUUUAGUGCUUCAUCAGGCCUGAGAUUUUACAGAUGGAAACAACAAGAAAACACUUGCAUAAGGUCUCUGUUCACAGAACCAGCAACAUCUCUCCUGACACCCACCGCCAGUCUGCUGUAUUGUUCACAUGCUGUCCCCGGAGUGAGUCAAUGUGAGCGAGGAGUGAGAAACGAGAACAAAAGCAAGGAAGAGAUAGAGGCAGUGUAUCACGAGGGGGGCAUUUUUAUUGUCGGUAUAUGUACACCCAUUCAAUAAAUUAGAAUAUUACUGAAAAGUC